ACGUACAAUCAUUCGAUGAGACAGAUGAUGUUAUAUGUACCGAGAUUUCUCUCGUCCGGUGUUUCGGCAUACUUUUCAUAAUUGUUUCCGGAUUCGCCAGGGGAUUCAGCGUCUUCUGUGGACUGAUGAGACUGCAGAAUAUGACACAUUCGCUAUGAAUGUCCAUGUGUACGGAUACAUACAUAUCGAUACGAUGACGGUAUCACAGGAAAGCACUGGACAAGUUUUCAAGCAGCACAUCGUUUGACCAUCCCAUAAAAACGCAAAAACGUUUACAAAACUUUCCUUGUACAAGCUGUAACACUGGAUGCACUGAUUGCCGGCAUCCAUGGGGCGGAGGUCAGUGGUAAUGGAGUGUGGGGAGUCGGGGACCAGCGUUGACCGUUGCCGUAAACGACACCGGCAAUGGUCCGGCAUGGCAACACUCAUCCACACUGCGCCUCUGCGUGAUGGUCGACUGACGAUUUACGUCUGUCGCCGGCUCCGGCUCGUUGCUCACCUCUAGAAAAAUAAAAAUUCA